rnacentral:rRNA from 1 species
UACCAGCACCCCGAGUGGUCGGGACGAUUAUUGGGCCUAAAGCAUCCGUAGCCGGCCUUACAAGUCCUCCGUUAAAUCCAGCUGCUUAACAGAUGGGCUGCGGAGGAUACUAUAAGACUAGGAGGCAGGAGAGGCAAGCGGUACUCAGUGGGUAGGGGUAAAAUCCGUUGAUCCAUUGAAGACCACCAGUGGCGAAGGCGGGUCUCUGGGCCGAUACUGACGCUGAGGAGCGAAAGCGUGGGGAGCGAACAGG